UCCGCGGUAGCUCAGUCGGUAGAGCGUCCCGCUGUUAACGGGAGGGUCCUUGGUUCGAGUCCAAGCCGCGGAG
rnacentral:tRNA from 1 species